rnacentral:rRNA from 1 species
ACGGGCCUGCAUGUCACCCUGCAGCCCAAGACCGGUUACUCACUGAAGCUAAGCAGGGCUGAGCCUGGUCAGGACCUGGAUGGGAGACCACUAGGGAACACUAGGUUGCUGUU